CGGGGUGUAGCGCAGCUUGGUAGCGCACUUGCAUGGGGUGCAAGGGGUCGCGAGUUCAAAUCCCGCCACUCCGACCA
rnacentral:tRNA from 1 species